CAUCCGGAAACCAAUUGGUCAACAUACCUAAUGACCGACAGACUGACCAACAUCUGCAAAACAGUAUACCCAGGCUCCUUCUUCAAAGGGUUUCAUUAAAAUCAGAAUAAGUCUAUGCUGACACUAGCUGGACAAAAAUAAUAUUCAGAAUGGUAUACAGAAAAUUUGAAUUUUCGUUCUUUUGUGAGACAGAAUAUUUAUUGCUUAUUAUAGCUUUGCAUUAUAUUCAAUGAAAGACAGAAAAGGUGGAAAAUAGGUGGCAACUAGUGGAAAUUGGCUGUACUAGCUGAAUCUGAAAAGAUCAUUUUUAAAUGUGUCUGCAGUGUAUUAUUUCUGCAUGAGAGAAAGUUGGUUAAAGAUAAGAUUAAUGAUAGAUCAAGUUACAAGCUCCCACACAAAUGUAUAGAAACAACCCCAGGUGGAAUUUGGGUCAGUUAAGAUUUAUAUAUGCAGGCAAACAUCAGGUCAGAUGCAAAGAAAUAGUUCUUGCCUAUUCUCUUCAUUAAUUGAAAAAAAAGAAGUGUUUAUAAAAAGGAUGUUUUUACAAUAGCUUUUCAACUUAAGGAUUUGACACCUUCUUUAGCUGACCAAGAAAGUGUAUGUGUGGAAUCAAUUUAUCUGUGUAGUAAUACCAAGUUUUGAAAUCUGGCAUUUGAUGAGUCAGCCUGGGAGAAACUGGAAACACAUUGUGAGAGGUACCUUCUGUGAAAAAAGUGCAACUUUGUGACAUGAUAUGCCUGCCUGACUGUAUAUACCUGAGCAGCACACAGCUUAUUACUGCAUAAAAGAAACAUAUCAAGAUAAUUUUGAAUCAGAUUGUGUGCUGGAAAAAUGGCCUUACAUCCAAAGGAGUGAAAUUUGGAGAGUCAUUCGCCAUCUACUUAAGCCAUCCUGGAAUAUGAAAAAAUAAGACUGCAUUGACAACAUCCUGAUCCUCGUGUUCAGAUCUUUUGUGAUUUCUUGUGAAGAGUCUUUGAUUUUUCAUAAAAAUAAAAAAUAUAUUAAUAUAAUUUGA